rnacentral:lncRNA from 1 species
AAUCGGCAACCUGAGGUGCACCUGAACAGCCCUGGGCUGCCUGCUAUAGCAGCUCAGCAGACACCAUGGCAGCCUUCGAUCCAUCCAGGGAAUGUUGCUGCUGCCACAGGGUUAGGAGACUGCACGCCAGGAGUGAUGGGCAGGCCAAGAUAGGCCUAACUAGGUCCGGCAGAGCUGGGGAGCCGACCGGCCGAAGGGCAUCCUAGCGUGGCCGGACUCACAGGAAUGCGGUCCAGCCC